UCAUCAGUUUCCUUCUCAUCUCCUUCUAGUUCUUCAAUGUUCUCAUCAGCUUCAAUUGGUUGAACCUCCUCUUCUUCCAAUGAUUUAAUAUUAACCUCUCCCUCCCUUGGCAGCCUUAACUCAUUCCUUUCGUACUUGACUGCUGCACCAAAGGGACUAUCAUCCCCCAAAAGGCAAUUAUUAUCAACCAAGCUCUCCUCCAGCAAAGUGGUCAAGUUGGCAAACUGUAAUGGACCAGGUUUGAGCCAUUCUCUGAAGCUGAAGAUCAGAUUAUGAAUAUAAGAGAAAGAAUCAUAUAUCCAUUGCCAAAACUUCUGAGCUAGACCUUCCAAAUUGUCUCUGAUGAAUUCUGAGAUUUCAGGUGGCACAUACGGAUUAGGGAAGCUUAAAUUAUUAAGUAUAGACGGGUCCAUAACUGGUGAAUUAGUGACUGAGGCCCACAAACAAGCAAUAGCCAGGAUCAAAAGAAAAGCAGUGAACUUUGUUUUCGUAAAGAAAUGUGGCUUAGGCAA
rnacentral:misc_RNA from 1 species